UACGGGGGGGGGGUAAGCGUUGUUCGGAAUUACUGGGCGUAAAGGGCUCGUAGGCGGCCAACUAAGUCAUACGUGAAAAUCCCUCAGCUUAACUGGGGGAACUGCGUGUGAUACUGGAUGGCUUGGAUUUGGGAGAGGGAUGCGGAAUUCCAGGUGUAGCGGUGAAAUGCGUAGAUAUCGGGAGGAACACCUAUUGCGAAGGCAGCUCGCUGGGACGUUACUGACGCUGAGACGCGAAAGCGUGGGGGAGCAAACAAG
rnacentral:rRNA from 1 species